rnacentral:rRNA from 1 species
GCAACUCUUCUUUGUGAAAAAGUUAAUUUUUCUUUUUUAGGGGAGAGAAAUUACUUCAUUCUCUGUUGGGAGACCGGCGGAGGAAAAAUAUUAAUUUUUAAUUGGGAGGCCGGCUCGUUUGGGGGGAAAGAAACCUUGGGCCCGGCCUUGGUUUUCUAUCUCAAUUUCAAACCCCCCCCCGCCCUUUCGUGAAGCCGAGGCGGUUCGUUUAAUUUUGGGCGGGUCGUGGGCUUGUACUGUACUGUACUGUACUGUAAGGAUCUUGGCCGGCGGGGGAAAGCGGGGUCGAAGGCUUUGAGUCGUUAAACGCUUUGUAUGUCUUGUGGAAUAUGUAUUAGCUCCUUGUGGGCGAAAUAAAUACAACUUUCAACAACGGAUUUUUUGGCUCUCGCAUCGAUGAAGAACGCAGGGGAAAAUCGAUAAGUAAUGUGAAUUGCAGAAUUCAGUGAAUCAUCGAAUCUUUGAACGCACCUUGCGCCCCUUGGUAUUCCGAGGGGCAUGCCUGUUUGAGUGUCAUGUUAAUAUCAAACCCCUUGUCUUCGUCGACUCGGCUUGGUUUGGACUUGGAGGUGUUGCCGGCGAUAUACAUAUACAUAUACACAUGUAUAUGUAUGUCGGCUCCUCUUAAAUGCAUUAGCUGGACUUUGGUUCGCAUUGGCGGUGUAAUAGUAAAGUGUUCGCCGGGGUGCUUGCCUAAGGGGUCCGCUUCUAAUCGUCUUCGGACAAGGUCGAGUUCGACCUUUUGUUGGUGUUGACCGUUUGACCUCAAAUCAGGUAGGAUUACCCGCUGAACUUAAGCAUAUCAAUAAGCGGAGGAAAAGAAACUAACGAGGAUUCCCCUAGUAACUGCGAGUGAAGCGGGAAGAGCUCAAAUUUGAAAUCUGGCGGCUUUUGGGUCGUCCGAGUUGUAACCUGGAGAGGCAUUUUCGGCGUUGGACCGUGUACAAGUCUCCUGGAAUGGAGCGUCAUAGAGGGUGAGAAUCCCGUCCAUGGCACGGACCGCCAAUGCUAUGUGAUAUGCCUUCGAAGAGUCGCGUUGUUUGGGAAUGCAGCGCAAAAUGGGUGGUAAAUUCCAUCUAAAGCUAAAUAUUGGCGAGAGACCGAUAGCGAACAAGUACCGUGAGGGAAAGAUGAAAAGCACUUUGGAAAGAGAGUUAAACAGUACGUGAAAUUGUUGAAAGGGAAACGCUUGAAGUCAGUCGCGUUCCGUGGAACUCAGCCUUGCUUCGGUUUGGUGUACUUUCCAUGUGAACGGGUCAACGUCAAUUUUGGGCGGUGGACAAAGGCGAGGGGAAUGUAGCGUCGCUUCGGGGACGUGUUAUAGCCCCUUGUUGUAUACGCCGGCCGGGAUUGAGGACUGCAGCACGCCCCCCUUGUGGGUGGUCGGGGGUUCGCCCCACGUACCCGUGCUUAGGAUGUGGCAUAAUGGCUAGGCCCC